GGUGACUCAUAGUAACUGAUCGGAUCGCAUGGGCCUGUCCCGCGACAAACCAUUCAAGUUUCUGCCCCAUCAGCUUUCGAUGGUAGUGUAUUGGACUACCAUGGCUUUUACGGGUAACGGAGGAUUAGGGUUCGAUUCCGGAGAGGGAGCCUGAGAAACGGCUACCACAUCCAAGGAAGGCAGCAGGCGCGUAAAUUACCCAAUCCUGACUCAGGGAGGUAGUGACAAGAAAUAACGGGCCGGGA
rnacentral:rRNA from 1 species